ACUACGGGCGGCAGCAGUGGGGAAUAUUGCACAAUGGGGGAAACCCUGAUGCAGCAACGCCGCGUGAGUGAAGAAGUAAUUCGGUAUGUAAAGCUCUAACAGCAGGGAAGAAAAUGACGGUACCUGAGGAAGAAGCCACGGCGAACUACGUGCCAGCAGCCGAGGUAAUAAGUAGGGGGCAAGCGUUAUCCGGAUUUACUGGGUGUAAAGGGAGCGUAGACGGCAGUGCAAGUCUGGAGUGAACAGCGGGGGCUCACCCCCCGGACUGCUCUGGAAACUGGACGGCUGGAGUGCAGGAGAGGUAAGUGGAAUUCCUCGUGUAGCGGUGACAUGCGUAGAUAUUAGGAGGAACCCCAGUGGCGAAGGCGGCUUACUGGACUGUAACUGACGUUGAGGCUCGAAAGCGUGGGGAGCAAACAGGAUUAGAUACCCGGGUAGUC
rnacentral:rRNA from 1 species